rnacentral:rRNA from 1 species
GAGGAAUAUUGGGCAAUGCCCGCAAGGGUGACCCAGCAACGCCGCGUGGAGGAUGAAUGUCGUAAGAUUGUAAACUCCUGUUAGAGGGGAAGAAUAGUACCGGUUGGACCGGUAUAUGUCUGUACCCUCAGAGAAAGCCCCGGCUAACUACGUGCCAGCAGCCGCGGUAAUACGUAGGGGGCAAGCGUUGUCCGGAUUUACUGGGUGUAAAGGGCGCGCAGGCGGGAUAAAAAGUCAGUGGUGAAAUCCUACAGCUUAACUGUAGAACUGCCUUUGAUACUUUUAUUCUUGAGUUCGGGAGAGAGAGACGGAAUUCCAGGUGUAGUGGUGAAAUACGUAGAUAUCUGGGAGAACACCAGUUGCGAAGGCGGUCUCUUGGUCCGACACUGACGCUGAGGCGCGAAAGCGUGGGGAGCAAACA